rnacentral:rRNA from 1 species
UACGGAGGGAGCUAGCGUUGUUCGGAAUUACUGGGCGUAAAGCGCACGUAGGCGGCUUUGUAAGUUAGAGGUGAAAGCCCGGAGCUCAACUCCGGAAUUGCCUUUAAGACUGCAUCGCUUGAAUCCGGGAGAGGUGAGUGGAAUUCCGAGUGUAGAGGUGAAAUUCGUAGAUAUUCGGAAGAACACCAGUCGGCGAAGGCGG